rnacentral:tRNA from 1 species
GAGCACGUGGCGGAACGGGAGCGCGUCUGACUCCAGAUCAGAAGGUUGCGUAUCCGAAUCACGUUGGGCUCA